UUUUCGUCAAUGCGCUCUUUCCAAAUUCUCCGUGCCUCUCACAAUUGUCUGAGCACUGAAACUCAACCAACUUAACGCGGCUUCCAUUAAUUUCUUCAAAGCUUCAAACUUUUUCAUGCCAACUCUCCCUCUUCUCUUUACUCUCAUCAUUUUCUGAUCUGGGUUUUCUUUACUUCUCAUUCAGAUCCUAAUCUCAUUAAGUGUUUUGGCUUCUGUUGCUUCCCACUUUGGAACUAUUAGUAGAAAGAAGCCAAUUUGGUUCUCGGGUUAUUCAUGGUUUUCUUUAUUUGAGUGUUCAGACUAUGUGAAAUCAACUUUUAAGAAGUUUUUAUUCGUUUUGAAAGUUGAAAGUUGAAGAAAGUCUUAGAACUUUGACUAUGGGCAGAGGUAGAGGAAAGGGGAAGAAGAACACUGUUACAGUUGUUCGUGAAGAGCCUGGAAGUGGAGAAGAAAAGGUUCCAGCUUACCGGAGAAGAGGAAGACCGCAGAAACCAUUGAACGAUGAUGUUCAAAGAGAGGAGGAAACUGAGAAAAUAGAAGAGGAUAGCGACGAAGCAAAGACUUUGUUAUAUCAAGGUGUCACAGAGAAUGGUAGGAAAAGAAAAAGGUCUACACCAGCUAAAGAAAAUAUGGAUUCAGUCAAAGAAGAGAAUGGCAUUGAAACAAAAUCCACACCAGAUGAUUCGACAAAGUUUGUUGGUUUCCGCCACAUUAGCAGUAGGCGGAAAAACAAGCCUCACCGGGCUGCUGAAGCUGGAGUUGAGUGCAAUUGACUAGUGAGCCCUUGAAAAUGGUUGCUUACCUUCUUGUUAAUUGUUGCAUAUAGUAACUACGCAAGUAAGGCAAGCCAUAUCAGUUUACACAUCUGCGAUUAAAGAGUGAGCAAAUGCCCAUAAAAGUUUUUGAUAGCACAUUGAGAUGGGUCCAUCAGGACAUGUCUGGAAUUCGCCAUCAACUUUUUUUCAAGAAGGAAUCUGGUUGCUCCAUUGGCAAGCAAUAGAAGGAAAAAAAAACUAUAUUUGUUUUUUUUUUAUUUCACUUAUUAAUUUGUGUUUCUAUGAGUAUUUUUAAUGGGAAAAAAAUAGUAUCCUCCAAAAAAAAAAAAUAGUAGGUGAUGUAAGAACAUUGAUUUGUUUUUCAGUUUGGAUUUUUGUCUAUGCGCUUACGAAAACUCCUUCACUUAAUGAUAUUUCUUUCAAAUGAAGUUUUGCAUAUUCUCUAAUCGGGGAAUUGCAUAUUAUAUAAUGAAUAUUGAUUUUGAAACAAGUUUUCAAA